rnacentral:rRNA from 1 species
CAGGCUUAACACAUGCAAGUCGAGGGGCAGCAUGGUCUUAGCUUGCUAAGGCCGAUGGCGACCGGCGCACGGGUGAGUAACACGUAUCCAACCUGCCGUCUACUCUUGGACAGCCUUCUGAAAGGAAGAUUAAUACAAGAUGGCAUCAUGAGUCCGCAUGUUCACAUGAUUAAAGGUAUUCCGGUAGACGAUGGGGAUGCGUUCCAUUAGAUAGUAGGCGGGGUAACGGCCCACCUAGUCUUCGAUGGAUAGGGGUUCUGAGAGGAAGGUCCCCCACAUUGGAACUGAGACACGGUCCAAACUCCUACGGGAGGCAGCAGUGAGGAAUAUUGGUCAAUGGGCGAGAGCCUGAACCAGCCAAGUAGCGUGAAGGAUGACUGCCCUAUGGGUUGUAAACUUCUUUUAUAAAGGAAUAAAGUCGGGUAUGGAUACCCGUUUGCAUGUACUUUAUGAAUAAGGAUCGGCUAACUCCGUGCCAGCAGCCGCGGUAAUACGGAGGAUCCGAGCGUUAUCCGGAUUUAUUGGGUUUAAAGGGAGCGUAGAUGGAUGUUUAAGUCAGUUGUGAAAGUUUGCGGCUCAACCGUAAAAUUGCAGUUGAUACUGGAUAUCUUGAGUGCAGUUGAGGCAGGCGGAAUUCGUGGUGUAGCGGUGAAAUGCUUAGAUAUCACGAAGAACUCCGAUUGCGAAGGCAGCCUGCUAAGCUGCAACUGACAUUGAGGCUCGAAAGUGUGGGUAUCAAACAGGAUUAGAUACCCUGGUAGUCUACACGGUAAACGAUGAAUACUCGCUGUUUGCGAUAUACUGCAAGCGGCCAAGCGAAAGCGUUAAGUAUUCCACCUGGGGAGUACGCCGGCAACGGUGAAACUCAAAGGAAUUGACGGGGGCCCGCACAAGCGGAGGAACAUGUGGUUUAAUUCGAUGAUACGCGAGGAACCUUACCCGGGCUUAAAUUGCAGAUGAAUUACGGUGAAAGCCGUAAGCCGCAAGGCAUCUGUGAAGGUGCUGCAUGGUUGUCGUCAGCUCGUGCCGUGAGGUGUCGGCUUAAGUGCCAUAACGAGCGCAACCCUUGUUGUCAGUUACUAACAGGUUCCGCUGAGGACUCUGACAAGACUGCCAUCGUAAGAUGUGAGGAAGGUGGGGAUGACGUCAAAUCAGCACGGCCCUUACGUCCGGGGCUACACACGUGUUACAAUGGGGGGUACAGAGGGCCGCUACCACGCGAGUGGAUGCCAAUCCCCAAAACCUCUCUCAGUUCGGACUGGAGUCUGCAACCCGACUCCACGAAGCUGGAUUCGCUAGUAAUCGCGCAUCAGCCACGGCGCGGUGAAUACGUUCCCGGGCCUUGUACACACCGCCCGUCAAGCCAUGGGAGCCGGGGGUACCUGAAGUGCGUAACCGCGAGGAGCGCCCUAGGGUAAAACUGGUGACUGGGGCUAA